rnacentral:rRNA from 1 species
AUGCCGCCCCUCUUAUCCAUCUUUUCCCUCGCCAUCUCCCUCCUCCCUCCCUGUUCCGCCCCCACCCCUACUCCCCGCAGGCUCAACCAUGGUAGUCAACAUGGGGACGUGAGCGUGCACGGGUGGCGUCGGUGGACGAGAAUCGAAUCGAUUUCAUGCUUGGGCGUGUGGGAUAAUUGGCGGUUUAGGUCACCCUGUUCUAUGAUAAUGGCAAACCAUUGUUUAGCAACAAACAUGCAGAGGUGGCUUAUUGGACGUGCAACUGACAUUCACAUUAGGCCCCUGAAUGAAGAGAAAGCUAUUCAAGCUGCUACAGAUCUUCUUGGUGAACGGUUCAUUUUCUCGGUUGCUUAUGGUGCAAUAAUCUUUGAGGUUCAUAGAAGUGACAAGUCAGAAGCCAGAAAAGAAGAGGCUUGUAAUAAGGCACUGGAGGAAAUAAAGGAGAAGAUGGAGGAGCUCGAGAGGGAAAAGCAGAUGAUGAAGCUGAGAGUGGCCGAGGUGGAGCGGGUAACCGGGGUAGGGGGAGGGUGGCCGUGGGUUCUUCCAAGGGCCUUCACUUCCGGCGCUGCCCAGGCAGAGCCAGAGCCAGCAGCUCAGCAGGCCACGGCUACUUAG